rnacentral:rRNA from 1 species
UACGGGGGGGGCAAGCGUUGUUCGGAAUUACUGGGCGUAAAGGGCCCGUAGGUGGCCAACUAAGUCAGACGUGAAAUCCCUCAGCUUAACUGGGGAACUGCGUCUGAUACUGGAUGGCUUGAGUUUGGGAGAGGGAUGCGGAAUUCCAGGUGUAGCGGUGAAAUGCGUAGAUAUCUGGAGGAACACCGGUGGCGAAGGCGGCAUCCUGGACCAACACUGACACUGAUGAGCGAAAGCCAGGGGAGCAAACGGG